CAGUCCUAGAAGAAAGAGAGACAUCUCAGAUCAGUGAGUGACUCAGGCAGGCCUCUCACAGUGCUGCUGGUCUGUCCUGCAUGGCCCCAGGAGCUCCCUCCCACCUCCAAAGCCAGCAGCCUCCACAGCUUCUGGGAGGUGCACCCUGACCAUCUCACACUGACAUUGCUGAAAUCCAACAGCACAGGCUAUAACAGUGCCCAGCCUUUUUCCACCACUGUUUCCCAUUCUGGUCUCUCCUCCAUCUAAUAAAUGGUGAUGCAAAUCAAAAGCCUAAAAGCAGGCUAGGGGCUGACCCUGACAAACACAACCUGGAAGAGGCUCAAACAGAGAAGGAAAUAAUUCUGCAGCGAGGCAGCGAGCAAGAUGUGGGGGAGCAUAAGUAGAGAAUGAGAGGGGAGGGGAAAAGGGAGGAGAGGUGACAUAUCUUACUUCUGGAGCAGAUUUACACUAAUUUGGAAUUAAAAGAACUUAAAGACUUCAAGGCCAGUGGUCCAUCUUUACUAGAAAUGCUGGUAAUCCCUGGGACUGGCACAUAGCUACAGACAGAGACAGAGAAGCAACUAACAGUGAUCCUGCCUGCUGACUCUUAUGUACACUGCAGUAGAGACCAUCCUGAUUUCCACUUGCCAUCACUGUAAUUCUGAGGGCAUUUGGAAAUCACUGAAGUUUGGUGCUCAGAUUUAAUGCUUCAAGGAUGUUAAAUACUUAGAAAUUAUUAACAUGAUCAAUUCUGAGAAAUCAGGGACUCUGAGUAUGUAUCUGUGCACAUAAUAGAAAGAAAAAAAAACCCAGAAUAGAGAUGGUUUUACUACUGAAAACAAAUGCAAAGAUUUUAAAUGAACACAAAGUAUAAUUUUUCAGCUUUCACAGCUCAAGUUUAAAUCCUCAAAUUUUACAAUAAUGAAAUAAGACUAAAAAUGGGUUUUAAAUUAAGCUUUAAAACUGGAAUGUUAGUUUAGAGGGGUCUUAAUGAAAGUAUCUGCCAAAGCAAUUUUCUGUGUGUUGCUACAUAUUAUAUAAUGAUUUUAUAGCAAUUUAUACAAGAUUUAAAAUUAGAAUUUGCCAAUUUCAGACGCCUUGCAGAUGUGCCAAGUGUUUGUAUCUUUUUCCUUCUCCAAAACUGAACUCCCUUUCUGCAAGGAGAAAGCCUGCCUUGUCAGUGGAUUCCAGUUUCAGAAUGGGGCUCCAGUGAUCUGCAAAAGGGCUUCAGCUCCUCCACAGAAAUCAAGUGAUUGCACAUGGAAGAGAUGACACAGAAAAGCUGCAGUUUCCAACCUGAGCACUGACUGUGCAUGGCCAGCAGGUCCAGGCGUGGUUGGAGCACCAGAUAUGACGUGGACUAUGUCUGAGAGAAGCUGUGGGCAAGUUAGCACCUGCACUGCUAGACUUGAACUAACCUAAGAAAUCUCCCUGGGAAAGAAUAUGGAGUGCGUCCUGCUAGUCAUCAGCAUCUGGGAGCACAGCAACACUUGGCAUUCAUGAUGCCUCUGGAACCUUCUGUCCCAACCUAAAGCAACCAGCACCUUAAAAACACUCACAGCCUUCCUUAUGCUUCUGUACAUCAGGAAUAUUGCAGCAACUCCCUUUUCUAAGCUUUGAUUCCAUCAUUCUUUAAACAUAUCAAUAAACUCCCAUGUCUGUUUGUUCUCUGACUGGAGUAUGGCUUCUAAUAGCAAGUCUCCUAAAUACAGCAUCCUCCCAGUUAUCUAGAACUCCAUGUGCUCUGUGAUUCCCAUUAGAUAGGAAAUGGACACAAGCUGCAACUUCAAUCAUUCACCUUUUCAACUGAGUCUAUUUUUUUCUGAGUCUCACUUAGCAGAAAUGGGCUCUCUGAGUAAUGCACCAGUCCCAGGGCUCCCUCCCAAGGGGGACUUCCAAACAUUUAUAGUCACUGAGAUGGAAAAUCAAACCUCUGACUCCAGCUGACACCAGCUUCCAUCAGCUUCCAUUACACUAAAUAAAAACUAUCUUCUGAGUGCCCCAGCAAGUGGGACAGGCCAUUUCCCACACUGCCAGGCCUGGAAAACAGCAUGUGCACAAACUGAGAAGAAAAGCCUCAUUAGUAUUAAUAUUUACAUUGCAGCCAUGCCCAGGGGCCCUGGCUGGGGUGAGGGUCUUGCUGUGUUUGGUGCUGCAGGAGAUGAAGGUGCAAGCCCUGCUCUGGGGAGCUGCCCAUCAUCACUCAGCUGCUCCCGAGGUGAUAUCCUGUCCCUUCCCCCAUGAAAGGCUGAGCAUUUCCAUUUCCCACCUGCCUCCUGGUCCUGCACACCCUGAUACUUUUGCAUUUCUGAAAUCAUUGUGACUUUUAUGGUUGUGGAUAUAAGACAAGGCUCUCUAUGUCCUCUGUAACCAACUUUUGCAUUGCAGUGACCAGCAAAGAGAAGUGUCCUGGGUGGGGACCAGUGGCUGGUGUAGGGGAGAAAGGGAUCCAGAAGCCCAGCAGACUGGAUGGAGAGG